AAAAAAAUUAAAAAACUACAAAUUUAUAUUUUAAAGACAUCACAAAAUAUUAAUUGAGAGGAAUGAAUCAUAUCACAAAGAUAACAAAAAAAAAACUCAGCAAGGAAAUUCUUUUACAAAUGAAACCUUUUUAGAAGAUUUUAAAGAUGCUAUAAUCUCUUCUGUAUCUCAUUCAGUUUCUUAUCUCAAGAAUGUUAAAAGCCUUUCCUUAAAACUAUCAUUUCAUUAUUCAGGACUGUUCUUUUUUUUUUCUUUUCUUUUUUGCUUGUUUCUUUUGUCUUCUUUUACCAGGUAAAGUUAAUAGGGAAAACAGCCCUAUCAAAUAUGUUUGAGAAAUUGCAUAAUAAAAUGAAGUAAAAGGAAUAUGAAAGAUUCAUAUUCACAGCACAGGUAUUCUCUGACUGUAAAUUGCAAAGAAGAUAUUGACAAAAAAUUUUCUCCUGAGAUUUGGUUCAAUUUCAUUGAAAUCACAAAUCCAUCCCUAUUUUCAAUUUUUAAAAAUGGAGUUUGAAUUAGGUCGCCUGUAAAUUUCCUUUCAACAAUAAAUUGAAAAGCCUUAAGUCCUUGAUCAUGGUUAGUGAGUCAGUCGAAGUGGAGAUUCCUUGUCUGUCACCCAGUAAUCAUGUAUUAAUUAGCCAGGGCUAGCCUUGACUUAAUUUCCCCAUCUAUAAAAUGAAGAGGUUGAACUCAGUAGCUUCUAAAUUUAUGAUACCAUCGUAUCAUUAUCCUCUGAAUGAACCAGAACUGGAAACUUGGCUAACUUGUACACUUAUCACCCUCUCCAAUGUCCGUUAGCAUCAAAGGCUUCAUCCAACUUCCCUCUCUAAAGAGAGCUGAUUGGGAGAGAAUGUCCCUGCAUUGCUUCCAAGGCUUUAAGAUGGAAGAUGAUAAAUGCGUCUGGGCUGAAUAGAAGAAAAUGCUAGCUGAGGUUUCUUCCAGGGAUGUAAAUACAAGAUGGAUGGGGAAAAUGCAAAAUAAGACAAUCUCCAGCUCUCAGCAUGAACUCACUUCCUCUUUUCUCUAGGUAAAACUGUCACUUCAGAGCAGAGCCAACUUUUCCUGCUGGACCGAAGACAGCCUGGAGCACAUCAGCAGCUUGGGCAGCUGAUGAAAGACUUCACUAGCGCCUUUGAUACAAGAUGCAUAUUAGAGCACGUUUGGAAACUUGCAUAUGUUCCCUGUUCUUCCUACCCUCCACCCCUCCCAGUGCAGCAUAGAGUAACUGGAUUGUGAAAAAGAAAACCUGGAAAGGCUCAGAAGACAAGGCUAUGGAAAAAACACGAAAUGGAGUUUGCCUUUAGAAAUGGAAAUGAAGAAAAUGUGGAGCAGAGAAACUAUGUGAUUCGUCCUUGAUCACACAAUUGAUGACAUUUUACUAAAUGAAGAACUGAACAAAAGAUUCUGAAUUGAUGCUUUCUUUGUAUGAAGACAGGUGAUUCAGAAAUUUCACUCACAUUGAAAACCAGUUUUUUGCCAUGUCCAUUGCCUUCAUACUUCUUUUAAAAAAUGUACUCUUUUAAUAUUCAUUUAAAAAAUUGAGUUCUAAAUUCUCUUCUUCUCUCCAGCCUCUCCUCCAUCCACUGAUAAAGCAAGAAAUAUAUCAAUUACAUAUGUGAAAUUAUGUAAAACAUGUUUCCAUAUUAGCUGUGUUGCAAAAAAAAAUAAAAAUCAAGAAAAAUAAAGGAAGUGAAAAAAUACUUAUAUCU